AUAAACUUCUCCAUCUGAAUUCAAAUUAAUACAUGCAUGGACAUACAAGUGAAUUAAAGUGAAUUAAUUAUGUAUGACAUUUGUAUAUUCUUGUCUUUUAAAUCUUUUAAAUUAUAAUUUUUCAUCAAAGGUUGGCGUAAGGAUGGCAAUUCGAAUUGCCAAAACUGAAAAUCAUGGUUAAUAGAAUUGAAUGGGGCGAAAAAAUCGAAUAGAUGGUGCAAUGGGAUGUAUAUGAUAUUUGAUUUUAGUGACCUGGUUCAAGGCAGGGCGGGUAUGGUAUUUGCGCCAUCGUCCCAUCUCGAAUCGAUUACCCGUUAAAAAAAGGGCAAUUGGGCUUUUCCAUUAUUUUUUUAUUGUAAUUUGUCUAGCCCAAAAUUUAUGGCUCAUUACUAACUUAUUAAGUAACCUAACACAGUUACCUCUUACCCACUUAGUACUAACCCUACCAUAAAGAAAAUUGGAAUCAAAUUCUACAAGACAUUAGUCGACAGCUGUCUUCCCUCGAGUCUCUGUAGUGCGUUCCAAAAUUUUAUUUCUUCUCCACACUGUAUUCUUUCUUGCUCGCCAUCGCCAUCCCCAAAUAGGAGGAUAUUUUUCUUCUUCUCGUUUGCUAAUUCCUUUUGUUGUAAUCUGUAUCUAUUUUUGUUUUUGUCGAGUAUGAGUAUUUGAUGAAAUAUGAUUUUUUCUUCUCCACAUAAAAGAUGAAUUUAAUAAACUUAGUUUGCUUAGAGAUAUUAAGUUUUAUUGCCGGAAGAACUUGAUGAUAUGCACUUUGAGUUUGAAAAUAAUCAAUGAAAAUGCAAUGAUACAAGCAAG
rnacentral:lncRNA from 1 species